GAACACAUGCAAGUCGAACGAAGUUCUUCGGAACUUAGUGGCGGACGGGUGAGUAACGCGUGAGAAUCUACCUUCAGGACGGGGACAACAGCUGGAAACGGCUGCUAAUACCCGAUAUGCCGAAAGGUGAAAAGUUAUUUCGCCUGGAGAGGAGCUCGCGUCCGAUUAGCUAGUUGGUGGGGUAAAAGCUUACCAAGGCGACGAUCGGUAGCUGGUCUGAGAGGAUGAGCAGCCACACUGGAACUGAGACACGGUCCAGACUCCUACGGGAGGCAGCAGUGGGGAAUUUUCCGCAAUGGGCGAAAGCCUGACGGAGCAACGCCGC
rnacentral:rRNA from 1 species